UACGGAGGAUGCAAGCGUUAUCCGGAAUGAUUGGGCGUAAAGGGUCCGCAGGUGGCAAUGUAAGUCUGCUGUCAAAGAAUGAGGCUUAACCUCAUCAAGGCAGUGGAAACUACAUAGCUAGAGUACGGUCGGGGUAGAAGGAAUUCCUGGUGUAGCGGUGAAAUGCGUAGAGAUCGGGAAGAACAUCGGUGGCGAAAGCGCUCUGCUGGACUGCAACUGACACUCAGGGACGAAAGCUAGGGGAGCGAAUGGG
rnacentral:rRNA from 1 species